UAGGGAAUCUUCCGCAAUGGACGCAAGUCUGACGGAGCAACGCCGCGUGAGUGAAGAAGGAUUUCGGUUCGUAAAACUCUGUUGUUAGAGAAGAACAGCGCAUAGAGUAACUGUUAUGCGUGUGACGGUAUCUAACCAGAAAGCCACGGCUAACUACGUGCCAGCAGCCGCGGUAAUACGUAGGUGGCAAGCGUUGUCCGGAUUUAUUGGGCGUAAAGCGAGCGCAGGCGGUUAGAAAAGUCUGAAGUGAAAGGCGGUGGCUCAACCAUUGUAGGCUUUGGAAACUGUUUAACUUGAGUGCAGAAGGGGAGAGUGGAAUUCCAUGUGUAGCGGUGAAAUGCGUAGAUAUAUGGAGGAACACCGGUGGCGAAAGCGGCUCUCUGGUCUGUAACUGACGCUGAGGCUCGAAAGCGUGGGGAGCGAACAGG
rnacentral:rRNA from 1 species